rnacentral:rRNA from 1 species
AUCUAUGGCCAUGCUACCCUGAACAAGCCCGAUCUUGUCUGAUUUCGGAAGCUAAGCAGGGUCGGACUUGGUUAGUACUUGGAUGGGAGACCACCUAGGAAGACCAGGUUCUGUAGGUG